rnacentral:tRNA from 1 species
AGCCUCUUAACUCAGUUGGGAGAGUGCUUCCCUUACAAGGAAGAAGUCAUCGGUUCGAACCCGGUAGAGGCUA